rnacentral:lncRNA from 1 species
GGCAACCAAGAGUGAAAGUGAACCUAGCUUGAAUUGAUUAGUCUGUCAUGACUUCCUGAUGAUAGAUGGAAGUCUGCCAAGUAUACCAUGCAGCAAAAGUAAUAACGGCCAUGUAUACUACUAAGUCUAGAGGAUAUUUCUGGGUCUCUUCAUGAGGUUGCAGUCAAGAUGUCAGGGGAGCUGCAGUCAUCUGAAGGCUUGACCACAGGUGGAGGAUCCACUUCCAAGAUGGCUCACUCACAUGGCUGCUGGCAGGAAAUAUCAUUUCCUCAUUGGCUUUCGGCUGGAGGCCCACUUCCUAGCUUCUCCAUGGAUGACUAUCCUUAUGACUUGGCAUCUAUCUUCCUCCAGAGCAGAUGGGAGUCACUAAUUCCAGUCCACACUCAGUCAGAAGAGAAUUUGGAUCCACCUCUUGAAGGGAGAAGCAUCAAAGAAUUUGUGGGCAUUUUAAAACCACCACAAACCUUUUGUUAAUUUUUUAAAUAUCUACAGGAUAUGAUAUUGAUUGUUCUUUCUUACUUUUUUUUAAAAAAGUCUUACUGGGUUUAUAAAUUUAAUUAAUCUUUUCAAAGAAUCCACUUUUGGUUUAUUGAUGCUCUCCCAUGUAUGUUUGUUUUCUAUUUCAUCAAAUUCUCUCAUCUUCAUUAUUUCCUUCUUUCUUCCUGUUUUGCAUUUAUGUUGCUGUUCUUUUACUAACUGUUUGAGAUAGAUCCUUAAUUGAUUUUUAGUCUUAAUUCCUUCUAAUAUAAUAUUUUAAGAUUAUGUAUUUCCUCCUAAGCAUGGUUUUAAAGGUAUCCUAUAAGAUUUGAUAUAUUCAUUAUUAUAUAGUUCAAGCUAUUUCAAUUUUCUUUCUGAUUUAUUUUUUGGUCCACAGUAUAUUUAGAAGUGUGUUGCUUAAUUUUUAAGAAUUUAGUGAUAUUCUAGUUAUGAUUCAUUGUUUGUUUUCAGCUUAAUUACCCUGUGGUCAGAGAACAUGCUUUGUAUGAUUUCAAUAAUCAUACAGAUAAUUUGUGAUAUGGCCCAGCCUUUCCAAUUUUGGUUAAUGUUCCAUUUACAUUUGGGAAAAAUGAGUGCUCUUCAGGUGCUGUGUGUAGUGCUUGUUAAAAUGUCAAUUAGGGCAAGUUAGUCAGUCAUGUUACUCACAUCCUAUGCCUCAUUACUGAUUUUGUAUAUGCUUAUUUUAUUAGUUAUUAAGAAAGGUUAAAAUCUUUCUCUGUGAUUGUGUAUUUAUUAUAUCUAUAAUUUUUGUUGUUCUCUAUGUUUUUUACUUUAUAUAACAACUAGGUGGAAAACUUUUGGAUUGUUACAUCUUUUUGAUGCCUGGGACCCUUUGUCAUUAUAAAGUGUCUAUAUUUUUAACAUUUCUUUUAGUAUGGCCUAGAAAUUAUCUGAAAAAUUCCCUCAGUUUUGGUAUUUGGAAAGUUUAUUUAUGUUUCAUUUUUAAAAGAUAUUUUCACUAGACAUAGACUUCUAGGUUAGCAGUUUCAUUCCAUUAGCUUCUGCCUUACCUCAUUUCUUUUGAGAAAGUAGUUAAAAAUCUUACCAUUGUUCCUUUGAAAGCUAUGUGUUUUUUGCCUCUUUUUUAAGAUCUUUCUCAUUGUCUUUGGUCUAUAAGAUUGCUAGAUAUUUUUUUAUAUUUUUUUCUGCUUGUGAUUUAUAGCGAAACUGGCAAAAUUCUACAUUUGUAUAUGUUGAAAUAUUUCUUCUGUCCCAUUCUCUCUCUCUCUUCUUCUGGACUGUAAAUACAUUUGUUACUCUUUUCACUGUGUCCUUUACAUCCUUUAUGUUCUCUUCUAUUUUUGUUUAUCUUUCUCUCUGUGAUUCUAAUAUGUAGAAUCAUAUCUACUGAGUUUUUCCCCAGUUCAAUACUCAUCCUUUAGAUUGUUUCUAAUAUGCUCUGGGACCAAACCGUUUAUUGAAUUCUUAAUUUCCGUUUUUGUUUUCCCAGUUUUAUAUUUACACUGAAUUCUGUAUUGACUUCAGCUUUAUGUUGAACUUCUCCAUCUUUUCACAUAUUUUUUAGAACACAUUUUUAAAAAAUUUUUUACUUUAUUAUUUUUUUGGUGAGGAAGAUUGGCCCUGAGCUAACAUCUGUUGCCAGUCUUCCUCUUUUUGUUUGAGGAAGAUUGUCACUGAGCUAACAUCUGUGCCAAUCUUCUUCCAUUUUGCAUGUGGGACACUGUCACAGCCUACCUUGAUGAGCAGUGUGUAGGUCUGUGCCCAGGAUCUGAACCUGUGAACCCCAGGCCGCUGAAGUGGAGCACAUGUACUUAACCAAUACACCAUUGGGCUGGCCCAAGAACACAUUUAACAUAUGUAUCUUAAGGUAUGCAUUGAUAACUCCAAUAAUUAGAUCUCCUCUACAUUACUUUCUACUGUCUUUUUUCUCCCUUGCCUUUUGCUCAUUUUAUCCUUUUCGUGGAAUGCCUACUAUUUUUUUAUUUAAUGUAAUAGUUUUUAUAUUAAAAUUUGUUGCCAUAAUUUAAGUGCAUGGCAAAUGGUUUUUUUCCUUCAGAGAGGAUUUACUUUUACUUCUAAUGGACAAUUAAGGGAGGGCGAGAUCACCUUUAUCAAGUCUUGAUUUGAAAUUAUUUUAAAAAUGUGUUUCAUUCCUUUAGAGGGCUAAACUAGUUCUGAUUUCUCUUUAUUACUGGAGAGUGGUAUUUCAGGGGCCCCAACUCUAUGACUGGCAUGCUAGGGCUGUUCUUCCUUGACAGGACGUGAAUACCAUUUUUAUCUCUCUUAUUCCAUGAGAUUUCUGAAAGCUCAGUUUAUCUGUGAAGCCUACCAGCCACUGAUUUCUGUUUGAUUUACUAGUCUCUCUGUUACUGUUUAAAAGUUGGCAAACACCUCGACGGAAAAAGUGGAACUGAAUUUUGGUUAACUCCUUGUUCUUCAUUUUACCCCAGAAUCUUAGACCCUCAAAUCUUUAUUGUCAUAGUAAUUCUCCAAUCUAUUCAAAUAGAUUAUUUUUUAAAUCUUACUUUCCUAGUUGCUGUGGGCAGGAAUGUGUGUCUAUAAUGAAGUAGUCUGCUCUAUUUGGAAGACAAAGUCCCAAAAAUGUUUUGAAA